UACGUAGGUGGCAAGCGUUACUCGGAAUCACUAGGCGUAAAGCGCAGGUAGGCGGUUCGGUAAGUCUUUUGUGAAAGCUCCUAGCUCAACUGGGAGAGGUCAAAGGAAACUGCCGGGCUAGAGUUUGGUAGGGGAGACUGGAAUUCCUGGUGUAGCGGUGAAAUGCGUAGAUAUCAGGAGGAAUACCUAUGGCGAAAGCAGGUCUCUGGGCCACAACUGACGCUGAGCUGCGAAAGCUAGGGGAGCAAACAGG
rnacentral:rRNA from 1 species